rnacentral:rRNA from 1 species
CCCUUAGAUGUUCUGGGCUGCACGCGCGCUACACUGAUGCGUUCAACAAGUGUUAACCUUGCCCGAUAGGGUUGGGUAAUCUUUUGAAAGCGCAUCGUGAUGGGGAUCGAUGACUGCAAUUGUUCAUCUUCAACGAGGAAUUCCUAGUAAGCGCAAGUCAUCAGCUUGCACUGAUUACGUCCCUGCCCUUUGUACACACCGCCCGUCGCUCCUACCGAUUGAGUGGUCCGGUGAAUAGUUCGGAUCGUGCAGGUUGCCUUCGGGUGCUUGUAUGAGAAGUUCAGUAAACCUUAUCACUUAGAGGAAGGAGAAGUCGUAACA